rnacentral:lncRNA from 1 species
GAGAGCUCUCUCUCUGCUCUAGUACAUUGAUCCUCUAUGCCAACCGACUGACCUCGGAUGAUAAGCUACUAAUCUAAGAUCGAAGAUCCUCCAAAAUAAAUUAUCCAAUCCUAGCCACCUGAUCAUCGUCUAACUGAGUUUGAGUUGGUGGAGGUCUCACUGAUCGUCUGGGAGGUGUCAUAAAGGAGUUGGAAGGCUGA